GACGAACGCUGGCGGCGUGCUUAACACAUGCAAGUCGAACGGAAAGGCCCUGCUUUUGUGGGGUGCUCGAGUGGCGAACGGGUGAGUAACACGUGAGUAACCUGCCCUUGACUUUGGGAUAACUUCAGGAAACUGGGGCUAAUACCGGAUAGGAGCUCCUGCUGCAUGGUGGGGGUUGGAAAGUUUCGGCGGUUGGGGAUGGACUCGCGGCUUAUCAGCUUGUUGGUGGGGUAGUGGCUUACCAAGGCUUUGACGGGUAGCCGGCCUGAGAGGGUGACCGGCCACAUGGGGACGGAGAUACGGCCCAGACUCCUACGGGAGGCAGCAGUGGGGAAUAUGGCACAAUGGGCGGAAGCCUGAUGCAGCAACGCCGCGUGCGGGAUGACGGCCUUCGGGUUGUAAACCGCUUUCGCCUGUGACGAAGCGUGAGUGACGGUAAUGGGUAAAGAAGCACCGGCGAACUACGG
rnacentral:rRNA from 1 species